AUGCAACCGUACCGCCUCAAUGCUUUUGGUCUGCGUACACAUAUUAAACUUCAGAGCAAAUACUAUGGACCUUUCCGGAUCAUCAAGAAAGUGGGUCGCGUCGCGUACAAACUGCUCUUGCCUGACACUACCAACAUACACCCAGUCUUCCAUAUUAGCCAGUUGAAGAAACAUGUCGUCCCUAAAGUUGUUCCGUGUGUAGACCUUCCCCUGGUUCGAUCAGAUGGGAUGAUUCAGACCGAACCAGUUCUCGUUCUGGAAACCCAUCAGGUACCCCGCAACAACCUGCCUGUGGUUCAGUGGCUUGUACAGUGGGCAAACCUUCCUCCUGAUGAAGCUUCGUGGGAAGACGCAUCAUUCAUGAAGAAAACGUUCCCUACAUUCUUCAAGAGCACCAUCGACAGGUGGUUCAACCGAACAACUCCUUGA
rnacentral:rRNA from 1 species